rnacentral:rRNA from 1 species
UACAGAGGGUGCAAACGUUGUUCGGAAUUACUGGGCGUAAAGCGUGUGUAGGCGGCCCCGUAGGUCGGAUGUGAAAGCUCUCGGCUCAACCGGGAAAGUGCAUUCGAAACCACAAGGCUUGAGUGUCGGAGAGGAAGGCGGAAUUGUCGGUGGUAGAGGUGAAAUUCGUAGAUAUCGACAGGAACACCUGCGGCGAAAGCGGCCUCUGGACGAACACUGACGCUGAGACUCGAAAGCGUGGGGAGCAAACAGG